rnacentral:rRNA from 1 species
GACGUAGGGCGCGAGCGUUGUCCGGAAUUACUGGGCGUAAAGGGCUCGUAGGUGGUUUGUCGCGUUGUCCGUGAAAACUCACAGCUUAACUGUGGGCGUGCGGGCGAUACGGGCAGACUGGAGUACUGCAGGGGAGACUGGAAUUCCUGGUGUAGCGGUGAAAUGCGCAGAGUAUCAGGAGGAACACCGAUGGCGAAGGCAGGUCUCUGGGCUGUAACUGACGCUGAGGAGCGAAAGCGUGGGGAGCGAACAGG